GGCGCUGUGGGGUAAUGGUUAACCUUAGGCUUCGACAUAAUCUCAUCAGCGUAUGCAUAUUUAGCCUAUCUGCGAGUUCGAAUCUCGCCCGCGUCA